GGCCCUUUUGAUUUUGGCAUCAAGAUUUUCUCCACCAAUUUCCACAAAACGAAUGUAAAGGCGACAAACGCGCCGGCCGGCACGACAAAGGAGGUAAUCUGCUGGACCGGAGCACUACGAAACGCACUCUCUCCCUGAGACUGCCUGUAAACUCUCCGGACACUGGACUGCCGCCGCGCACCACCGUCAGCCGCCCUCACAACCAGAGUGCUGAACCUGAAACAUGUUCGCCUACUAGGAAAGGACGAUGCAGUGUUGGGGAAGGACAAUAGCAAACCGUGAGCACGAUAGCACGAGGCAGAGAUGCCAAAGGCUUCGGAUUGUAGGCUAAGUGAAAUCUUAGGUUGAAAGCAUGGAGAAAGAGCGGAAGCGUGGCCCAUAGGUGUGAGUGAGUUUAGACGCGCAUAGGAAGUACAGGUUCUUAUCCUGCGCUAGAAAGAGAUGAUGAAGCGGCGGG
rnacentral:misc_RNA from 1 species